ensembl:snoRNA
UUGCAUUCUUAAACUGUCUUGGUGGCUUCCUUCAAUGUGCUUCCAAGAUAUGAGUGAAUGCUAGAGAAAUUGCAGGGGAGUCCAAAGGGCUGCGCUUCUAUGGCUCAGUUUUAUUUAAUACCUGCGACACAAUUU